rfam:Asian citrus Psyllid, Diaphorina citri - Florida Strain, whole genome shotgun sequence.
GCCUAGUUAGCUUGGUUGGUAGCGCGUCUGCCUUGUAAGCGCUAGGCCGCGGGUUCGAUUCCCGUCCGGGGCG